CUCAGACCAGAGAAGGCAAAAAAGAGCCUGGUUCUUGUCCAAAGAACAGCUUGUUGGGCAAGGAAUCAAAUGAAUAGAACCUCGAAAAUUCUAGGGGAAUUGGCUCAUGACUUUGAUGAAAUAAGACAUGCUGUUUUACAGAACAGAGCAGCUAUAGAUUUUCUAUUGCUGGCUCAAGGGCAUGGGUGUGAAGAAUUUGAAGGUAUGUGCUGUAUGAAUCUUUCUGAUCACUCUCAGUCCAUUUACCAAAAACUAAAAGAAAUGCAAGGCCAUUUGAAUGACUUCAAAAUCCAAAAGGAUCCUAUUAGGGAAUGGUUAGCAAAGUUAGGCUUGGGACCAUGGCUUGCUGAGAUCGCUAAACAAGCUAUUUCACUUUUGUUGAUACUAUUGGUUGCUUUAUGCGUCGUUCCUUGUGUUUUUAAAUGCAUACAGAACAUGCUAACGAAGGCAAUGAAUGAUGUAUUUUUAAC